GGUAGUUUGGCUUAGUGGUAGAGCAUUUAUCCAGCACAUGUAAGGCCCUGGGUUCAACCCCCAGCACUACAA
rnacentral:tRNA from 1 species